ACUCAAAUGAAUAGACGGGGGCCCGCACAAGCAGCGGAGCAUGUGGUUUAAUUCGAAGCAACGCGAAGAACCUUACCAAGGCUUGACAUCCUCUGACGUGCAUGGAAACAUGCAUUCCCUUCGGGGCAGAGAGACAGGUGGUGCAUGGUUGUCGUCAGCUCGUGUCGUGAGAUGUUGGGUUAAGUCCCGCAACGAGCGCAACCCUUAUUGCUAGUUGCCAGCGCGUAAUGGCGGGAACUCUAGUGAGACUGCCGGGGACAACUCGGAGGAAGGUGGGGACGACGUCAAAUCAUCAUGCCCCUUAUGUCUUGGGCUACACACGUGCUACAAUGGCCGGUACAAAGGGUAGCGAAAGAGUAAUCUGAAGCGAAUCUCAAAAAGCCGGCCUCAGUUCGGAUCGUGGGCUGCAACCCGCCCACGUGAAGUCGGAGUUGCUAGUAAUCGCGAAUCAGCAUGUCGCGGUGAAUGCGUUCCCGGGCCUUGUACACACCGCCCGU
rnacentral:rRNA from 1 species